rnacentral:misc_RNA from 1 species
GCGCUUGGAGGUCAUCACCGCGACAGAUGGAUCUCGAUCAUUUUUCAGAGUUUCCGCGCUCUGACCUUCGCCGUUCGUUGAUGCGAUUUUGAUCGAUCUUUGUCUGGACUUGGAGUAACCUCUGUUGGUCGACAGCAGUACCCAUUGCCCGUCCCCGUUGGCUGGAUGCGACGGUGGAUGAUCGGUGGAAUACUGAUAGUGAGAAAAAUGCGGUCUGUUGAACGAGGUCGAGGAGGGUUUCGGGAAAUUUGAAGGUUUUUUAACUUCAAGUUGAAAUGGUACCACGGGAUGUUCGAGAACCGUGAAUGGAUAUUUAUUCGAAAAAAUUCCUACAAAUUAAUUAUGACUAAAAAUAAAUUUUCCCUGCACAAAUGCAUCAAAUUAUUC